rnacentral:tRNA from 1 species
AUUUUAAUAGCUUAUAAAGAGCAUUACACUGAAGAUGUAAAGGAAAGAUUUAUUCUUUUAAGAUA